rnacentral:rRNA from 1 species
GGUGAACGCUGGCGGCGUGCCUAACACAUGCAAGUCGAACGGACACACAGUAAGAGUUUGCUCUUACGGGUGGCGAGUGGCGGACGGGUGAGGAGUACAUCGGCAUCUUCUUUUUCGGGGAGGAUAACGUAGGGACAGUUACGCUACUACCGCAUACGACCAACGGGUGUAAGCAAUGGAUCUUCGCAGCUUUCGCGGUUGAAUGAGCCGGUGUCGCAUUAGCUAGUUGGCGUGGUAAAGGCCCACCAAGGCGACGAUGCGUAGCUGAUCUGAGAGGAUGAUCAGCCACACUGGAACUGAGACACGGUCCAGACUCCUACGGGAGGCAGCAGUAGGGAAUAUUCGGCGAUGGGCGAAAGCUUGAUGCAGCCAUACCGCGUGGGUGAUGAAGGCCUUCGGGUCGUAAAGCCCUUUUGUUGGGAAAGAAAAGCAGCAGAUUAAUACACCGCUGUUCUGACGGUACCCAAAGAAUAAGCACCGGCUAACUUCGUG